CUUGAAUGAGAAUCUCCACUGUGCAUUUGCAGGCUCUUGAGCAAUUUCUCCCAGGGAAGUAAAGACAGACAUCGUAUUAUAUGUGUUCUCCUUGGAGUAAAGAAAAUUUAAAUUAUUCACCUGGGUUACAGAUAUGGAUGGCCUUCCUUGCUGCAGAAAGAAUUUCCAGAUAGUGUCUUGGAGAAUGUAUCUGCACUUAUAAGUAUCUACUUCCUGAGAGAUGCUGUGGCAGAAUAAGUCAUUUUACUCCUCCCUUUGACCAUCACUUACUUGUGCCGUGGAUGCCUAUACUACUUCUCAAGUAAUAACAGGUCCUCAAUUGCUUGUUUUCUACUUCAUACAAGCUCAGCUGCAUUUACCUGAAUGAAGAAAUAUGGAGUGAAAAAGAAAAAGCCAAAUUUUAUACUAGAAAG
ensembl:lncRNA